GACGAACGCUGGCGGCGUGCUUAACACAUGCAAGUCGAACGGAAAGGCCCUGCUUUUGUGGGGUGCUCGAGUGGCGAACGGGUGAGUAACACGUGAGUAACCUGCCCUUGACUUUGGGAUAACUUCAGGAAACUGGGGCUAAUACCGGAUAGGAGCUCCUGCUGCAUGGUGGGGGUUGGAAAGUUUCGGCGGUUGGGGAUGGACUCGCGGCUUAUCAGCUUGUUGGUGGGGUAGUGGCUUACCAAGGCUUUAACGGGUAGCCGGCCUGAGAGGGUGACCGGCCACAUUGGGACUGAGAUACGGCCCAGACUCCUACGGGAGGCAGCAGUGGGGAAUAUUGCACAAUGGGCGGAAGCCUGAUGCAGCAACGCCGCGUGCAGGAUGACGGCCUUCGGGUUGUAAACCGCUUUCGCCUGUGACGAAGCGUGAGUGACGGUAAUGGGUAAAGAAGCACCGGCUAACUACGUG
rnacentral:rRNA from 1 species